UUGGUGAGUGGCGGACGGGUGAGUAACACGUGGGUAACCUGCCCAAAAGUGGGGGAUAACAUUUGGAAACAAGUGCUAAUACCGCAUAACAACUACUUUCACAUGAUCGUAGCUUGAAAGAUGGCUCUGCUAUCGCUUUUGGAUGGACCCGCGGCGUAUUAGCUAGUUGGUGAGGUAAUAGCUCACCAAGGCAAUGAUACGUAGCCGACCUGAGAGGGUAAUCGGCCACAUUGGGACUGAGACACGGCCCAAACUCCUACGGGAGGCAGCAGUAGGGAAUCUUCCACAAUGGGCGAAAGCCUGAUGGAGCAAUGCCGCGUGAGUGAAGAAGGUUUUCGGAUCGUAAAACUCUGUUGUUGAAGAAGAACAUGCGUGAGAGUAACUGUUCACGUACUGACGGUAUUCAACCAGAAAGCCACGGCUAACUACGUGCCAGCAGCCGCGGUAAUACGUAGGUGGCAAG
rnacentral:rRNA from 1 species